UGGGGAAUAUUGGACAAUGGGCGCAAGCCUGAUCCAGCCAUGCCGCGUGAGUGAUGAAGGCCUUAGGGUUGUAAAGCUCUUUCAGUGGGGAAGAUAAUGACGGUACCCACAGAAGAAGCCCCGGCUAACUUCGUGCCAGCAGCCGCGGUAAUACGAAGGGGGCUAGCGUUGUUCGGAUUUACUGGGCGUAAAGCGCACGUAGGCGGAUUGGUCAGUUAGGGGUGAAAUCCCAGAGCUCAACUCUGGAACUGCCUUUAAUACUGCCAGUCUAGAGUCCGGAAGAGGUAAGUGGAACUCCUAGUGUAGAGGUGGAAUUCGUAGAUAUUAGGAAGAACACCAGUGGCGAAGGCGGCUUACUGGUCCGGUACUGACGCUGAGGUGCGAAAGCGUGGGGAGCAAACA
rnacentral:rRNA from 1 species